GACGAACGCUGGCGGCGUGCUUAACACAUGCAAGUCGAACGGAAAGGCCUCUUUCGGGGGGUACUCGAGUGGCGAACGGGUGAGUAACACGUGAGUAACCUGCCCUUGACUUUGGGAUAACUUCAGGAAACUGGGGCUAAUACCGGAUAGGAGCUCCUGCUGCAUGGUGGGGGUUGGAAAGUUUCGGCGGUUGGGGAUGGACUCGCGGCUUAUCAGCUUGUUGGUGGGGUAGUGGCUUACCAAGGCUUUGACGGGUAGCCGGCCUGAGAGGGUGACCGGCCACAUUGGGACUGAGAUACGGCCCAGACGCCUACGGGAGGCAGCAGUGGGGAAGAUUGCACAAUGGGUGGAAGCCUGAUGCAGCAACGCCGUGUGCGGGAUGACGGCCUUCGGGUUGGAAACCGCUUUCGCUCAUGACGAAGCUUUGUGUGACGGUAGUGGGUAAAGAAGCACCGGCUAACUACGUG
rnacentral:rRNA from 1 species